rnacentral:rRNA from 1 species
CUACGUGCCAGCAGCCGCGGUAAUACGGAGGGUGCGAGCGUUAAUCGGAAUAACUGGGCGUAAAGGGCACGCAGGCGGUGACUUAAGUGAGGUGUGAAAGCCCCGGGCUUAACCUGGGAAUUGCAUUUCAUACUGGGUCGCUAGAGUACUUUAGGGAGGGGUAGAAUUCCACGUGUAGCGGUGAAAUGCGUAGAGAUGUGGAGGAAUACCGAAGGCGAAGGCAGCCCCUUGGGAAUGUACUGACGCUCAUGUGCGAAAGCGUGGGGAGCAAACAGGAUUAGAUACCCUGGUAGUCCACGCUGUAAACGCUGUCGAUUUGGGGAUUGUGCUUUGAGCUUGGUGCCCGUAGCUAACGUGAUAAAUCGACCGCCUGGGGAGUACGGCCGCAAGGUUAAAACUCAAAUGAAUUGACGGGGGCCCGCACAAGCGGUGGAGCAUGUGGUUUAAUUCGAUGCAACGCGAAGAACCUUACCUACUCUU